rnacentral:rRNA from 1 species
UACGUAGGGGGCUAGCGUUGUCCGGAAUCAUUGGGCGUAAAGAGCGUGUAGGCGGUCCGGUAAGUCCGCUGUGAAAGUCGGGGGCUCAACCCUCGAAUGCCGGUGGAUACUGUCGGGCUUGAGUACGGAAGAGGCGAGUGGAAUUCCUGGUGUAGCGGUGAAAUUCGUAGAUAUUAGGAAGAACACCAGUGGCGAAGGCGGCUCACUGGUCCGGUACUGACGCUGAGGCGCGAAAGCGUGGGGAGCAAACAGG